rnacentral:rRNA from 1 species
CCUACGGGAGGCAGCAGUGGGGAAUAUUGCGCAAUGGGCGAAAGCCUGACGCAGCGACGCCGCGUGAGGGAUGAAGGUCUUCGGAUCGUAAACCUCUGUCAGCAGGGAAGCACGGUCACUGUGCUAAUCAGCAGUGAAUUGACGGUACCUGCAAAGGAAGCACCGGCUAACUCCGUGCCAGCCGCCGAGGUAAUACGGAGGGUGCGAGCGUGAAUCGGAAUUACUGGGCGUAAAGCGCUCGUAGGCGGUAUGUCAAGUCAAGGGUGAAAUCCCCGCGCUCAACGUGGGAACUGCCUUUGAAACUGGCAAACUGGAGUGUGUGAGAGGAUAGUGGAAUUCCAGGUGUAGGAGUGAAAUCCGUAGAUAUCUGGAGGAACAUCAGUGGCGAAGGCGACUAUCUGGCACAUAACUGACGCUGAGGAGCGAAAGCGUGGGUAGCAAACAGGAUUAGAUACCCCAGUAGUC